UACGGGGGGGGCAAGCGUUGUUCGGAAUUACUGGGCGUAAAGGGCUCGUAGGCGGCCAACUAAGUCGGAUGUGAAAUCCCCAGGCUCAACUUGGGAACUGCAUCCGAUACUGGAUGGCUUGAAUUCGGGAGAGGGAUGCAGAAUUCCCAGUGUAGAGGUGAAAUUCGUAGAUAUUGGGAAGAACACCGGUGGCGAAGGCGGCGACCUGGUCCUUGACUGACGCUGAGGCGCGAAAGCGUGGGGAGCGAACAGG
rnacentral:rRNA from 1 species